rnacentral:sRNA from 1 species
GCCAGAAGUGGUAGCGCAUGCCUGGAAUCCCAGCUACUCGGGAGGCUGAGGCAGGAGGGUUGCAAGUUUGAGACCAGACUCAGCAAUUAGCGAAACCUUGUCUCAA